CCUCGGUCUAAUUCAACUGAUCAUUCACACAAUUCAUGGUCAGACACUUGGAAGGCAACCUCUGAGGGUUGGUUCCUAAUGGAAACAUGAGCACUUUAUUCUGGAGUGCACAAAGAAGAGGAAGGAACACUGCAGCUGCAACUAAAUUACUAAACCCAGCUUCAAGAUCAUGGAGGCCUAUUUAGACCACACAAUGUGCAUUGAGGCUCCAGGAUCAGAAGAGUGGGACCCUAUCUGCUCCUUGCAGAGCCAACUGGAACAUACUUUCAUGUUGACUCCAGCUUGAGACCCUCUAUAGAGAGUAAGACAGUGGUCACGUAAAAGCCUUCUUAUAUUGGAAAGAGAACUUUGUUCCUUUUAAUUGUUCUUAGGGUGUUGUAUGCCCAAAUGCCAGAUUGGAAUUGCAGCCAUCUGAGUAUUUUCAAAAAGCAUCAUUAUCAUUUAAAAACCAAAGAGCCAAAUGAGAGGUGGCCUGGAAAAAGCCACUUUAGAGGUGGGUGAAUGGGACUGCUGACUGUACUGUGAUUGAAAGGGAGCUUCUAAUUCACUUUGGGAAGCCACUGGAAAAGGCUUUCCCAGAAAUGUUGAAUAUAUUGUAGAAUGCCUUGAUUGA
rnacentral:lncRNA from 1 species